rnacentral:rRNA from 1 species
GCGAAACCUUUACCCUGCACGACAGUGCGAUAGGGGGAUCCCAAGUGCACAGGCAUAGCGCCUGUGCUUUUCGGUACCGUAAAGGUGGUACCAGAAUAAGGGCUGGGCAAGACCGGUGCCAGCCGCCGCGGUAAUACCGGCAGCCCAAGUGAUGGCCGAUCUUAUUGGGCCUAAAGCGUCCGUAGCUGGCCGCGCAAGUCCAUCGGGAAAUCCACCUGCUCAACAGGUGGGCGCCCGGUAGAAACUGCGUGGCUUGGGACCGGAAGGCGCGACGGGUACGUCCGGGGUAGGAGUGAAAUCCCGUAAUCCUGGACGGACCGCCGAUGGCGAAAGCACGUCGCGAGGACGGAUCCGACAGUGAGGGACGAAAGCCAGGGUCUCGAACCGGAUUAGAUACCCGGGUAGUCCUGGCCGUAAACAAUGUCUGCUAGGUGUGGCUCCCACUACGAGUGGGUGCUGUGCCGUAGGGAAGCCGCUAAGCAGACCGCCUGGGAAGUACGUCCGCAAGGAUGAAACUUAAAGGAAUUGGCGGGGGAGCACUACAACCGGAGGAGCCUGCGGUUUAAUUGGACUCAACGC